rnacentral:lncRNA from 1 species
CCCGGUGUCGACUUACUAGCUGCAAGCCUCUGCCUGCCUUCCUGCGCGCCGUUCCCCGCUAGUCGCUGCUGCUGGCGCGCACUCGCCGGGUUUUUCCUCCCACGGCCUCGAGAUGGUGGUGAAUGUGGCACGGAGGAGCCGGGCCUUCCAACCCGGUGGGCCCGAGCUCCGAAAGGCCCCCUCGGCAGUGAGAGGGGCGGGAGCCCGCGGGGGCCGCGCCCUUCUCUCGCUUCGGACUGCGCAACGCUGCGCUCUGGGCUGACAGGGCGGAUAAAACGGUCCCAUCAAGACUGAGAAAAAGCACACCAGCUAUUGGCACAGCGUGGGCAGUGGGGCCUACAGGAUGACUGACUUAGUCUACAGAGAUCCCGGCGUACUUAAGCAGGAUGAAGACUCUUAAGAUGACAGAAGGUGAUUUUUCUGGUGAUCGAGGACUUCCGGGGUAAUGACAGUGAUGAAAUGCAGGGGACCUGGGUUGCCCCCAAGUUUCCUGGCAGUGUGUGAUACUGAGGAGGUGAGCUUGUUUCUGGAGCUGUGCUUUAAGGAUUCAUGUUACAUGUAAAGCUGUCCUCAUUUGUGACUAUGGACCUAUGGAGUUGGGGACAAUCUCUAUGGGAAGCAGAAGGCAAGGACCCCGGUCAUUUUAGGUAGAAACAACAGCAUGCUAAUGCAAAAAAUUAUGCAGUGUGCUACUGAACUUCAGAGGUGAUCAAUAAAAGAAGAAUAAAAAGACUAAUAAAAGUAU